CAAGGUCUGGCAACAACACAGUGGUAGCUGCACUCCUUGUAGGUCUUUACUAGUAACUGUUUCUUCUGUUCUCUGGAACCUCUUUAAGCCUAGGAUCAGACACAAAGACUGAGCUCCGGGCCCAUUAUCCCAGUUUGUCCUUGAAGUAUGAGGCUGGUGACUGGAAUAACUGUGUUUCUGAUUUUGGGGACUGUGAUUGAUGCUAAGACCACCCAGCCCAAUUCCAUGGAUUGUACUGAAGGAGAAGAUGCAAACCUGCCUUGUAACCACUCUAGCAUCGGUAUAGCUGAUUAUAUACACUGGUAUCGGCAAAAUCCCAGUCAGAGUCCGCAGUAUAUAAUUAAUGGCUUACAAGGCAAUGUGACCAACAACAUGGCCUCUCUGACCAUCGCAACAGACAGAAAGUCCAGCACUUUGAUCCUGCCCCGGGUCACCUUGAGAGAGACUGCUGUGUACUACUGCAUGCUGAGAGAGGCACAUUGAGACAGAUGGGGCUGCACCUGUGCAAAAUCUCUCUGGAGGCAAGAGGGGAGGGUGGGAGGUAGGAGCCAUCAAGAGCAAAUCUGGAACCAUUUAGAAGGAGAGUCAGAGAGCAAUAAGAAAGGAGGAAAAUGAAAGGAAGGAAAAAGGGAGAAGAUCGAUAAGGAAAAGGAGAAAGACAAGAUGAAGGGCGAGAGGACAGAGAAUAAAGACUUCAUUUGUUGAUGUGGCUGAGAAGAAUUAUGAGGAGACUAAGAAUCAUAAUUAACAUAGCAAUCAAGUGAAAAGGUAAUAAUAAUCUGUCGUGGCUCCUCCUCAUGUCAAUAAAAUGUUAGUUUCAAUGUGUUCAUCUCAGUAUAAAAGACGAGGAAAAUAAAGAU